rnacentral:rRNA from 1 species
CCUACGGGCCGCAGCAGGGGGGAAUAUUGCACAAUGGGCGCAAGCCUGAUGCAGCCAUGCCGCGUGUAUGAAGAAGGCCAUCGGGUUGUAAAGUACUUUCAGCGAGGAGGAAGGCGUUAAGGUUAAUAACCUUGGCGAUUGACGUUACUCGCAGAAGAAGCACCGGCUAACUCCGUGCCAGCAGCCGCGGUAAUACGGAGGGUGCAAGCGUUAAUCGGAAUUACUGGGCGUAAAGCGCACGCAGGCGGUCUGUCAAGUCGGAUGUGAAAUCCCCGGGCUCAACCUGGGAACUGCAUUCGAAACUGGCCGGCUAGAGUCUUGUAGAGGGGGGUAGAAUUCCAGGUGUAGCGGUGAAAUGCGUAGAGAUCUGGAGGAAUACCGGUGGCGAAGGCGGCCCCCUGGACAAAGACUGACACUCAGGUGCGAAAGCGUGGGGAGCAAACAGGAUUAGAUACCCGUGUAGUC